GGCCCGAGCGGUGGCCGGCGAUGUGGCGACCCAGCGGCGCCAUCACCGCCAUCACCGUCGUCAUCACCAUCACCUCCCCGGGCCAAGCAGGCGCACAAGCUGUUCGGGAACGAUUUCGCCGACAACGGCAACAGCUGCGUGGGUCCGCAGAGGCUCGGUAGCCAGGUCCUUGUCGGCGGCGUACGCAGAGGCGGCGGCGAAGGCCUCGUCCCGUUGGGGGGCGCCACCUUCAAGAGCCGAAGACCCGAAAAUUUUAUCAAUUGUAGCAGGGAUCCGAACUCCACCCUCCUCCCUUCUCUCCUGCCGAGACACACCCCUCCCUCUCCUGGCUCACCCCUAUCCAUGCCGUCCCUUCCGCUCCCCGUUCACCACUGCCGCGGGCAAGGCGAAGCAGGUCGAGGGCCUCGGCUUGGAUGCCUGACUGCCCGCGAGUCCGCGACGGCGUGCUGCUCGAUUGAGGAGCAGAGGGCAGGUGUCGUGGUGGUGCGCAUGGGCAGCAGGGAGCCCCUAGCAGCUGGCGCCAACAGUGUCGUGAGCUCGCCGCCUCGAGGCAGGUCGGCCUCCAGCCCACCAUGGCAUCCCCCUCUUUCUCCCUCAGCCCCUCCCUCUCCCGAGGUCCGAGGUCCCGAGGAGCGGAGGCCGCGGCUGGAGAAGCUGCCCCAAGGAGCAGAGGCGGCACGGCGGGACGCACUGCCUCUAGGAUCAGCGGCAGCCGCGAGCGGCUUAUGGAGACGUGCCUCAUCUCCGGUUGUGCAGAGGACCAUCGCGAGGAGUUGGGAGUGCACUGCAGCCACCGUAUACUGCCUCUCUCACGUGGUGCCUGCCUGUGUGUACCUGCCGUGCGUGCUCACCAAAUCCGGCGGGGGAGGGGGCACGGCAGCUGAGGUGGCGGCCAGGGGCGGGCUCACCCUUGGGGCUCCAUUGUCAGCGAUGGCACCCGCAACGCUACAAUGGAGAUGGCGCCGCCGCCGAAUUGCGAUGGCCACCAGCGACCGGGCAGCGGCCCAUUGCAUUCUGUCGCAGCCGGCAACUCUACAGUAUUGGCACGCUUGUCGGACUCGAGGUACAGAGUCAUUCUUCUUCCUCCCGAUGGAUUUGGCGAUGGGAAUCGGAGUCCGUAACUAUUGGCACUGGCAGGCUCAUGGGAUGGUGGCUGCCGUGGAGGCUGACACAAAUGCAAUAUGGUAUGCAGGUUAGCUGUUCGAGGAAAUGACCAGGUCAAGAAACAAAUGUGUGAUAAAUUCCAUCCUAGCUUUAAAAAAUGGUGCGGUGAUUACUUUUAUAUCAAGGUUAGUUUAUUAAGCCGUUCUUUUUAUGUUCCUGAAUAUUGUAGUAUUUCUAAUUGUCAAUUUUGUUGUAAUCACUGACACAUGACAAAUCUCAUGGUUAAAUUGAUCCACAAUCUUAAAAGUGCUAUUGUAUUUUUGAUAGAACAUGAAAAGUGCUAUUAUAUUGGUCUUCUUGUUCAGUAUUGUGCACUAAAUAGCUAUCAUGCUUGUCUGGUGGCAAGAACAAGUCGUGGUGUUGAUUAUUUAUAUUUGAUAGUAGUAUCAUGGGUGGAUGGAAUAUUUUUUGACGAUCUUGAUGAUUAUGAUAAGAAAACUCACCUUCAGUUCGCCAUGCACACACAUGUGGUCUGACCAAAAUUGUAACUUCUGACCAAAAUGUGGUCUUACAAAUUGGUCGGGAAGGAGAAUGCAAUUGCUGCUUUGGGUCUGACUAGCAGAGUAGUGAAAAGCAGGCAUGGGCACUCGGUGCCGCAAACUGUACACAAGAGUAUGCACGGCCGUCCUUGGAACCAAGUGCUGUCAUAUAUAGAGCUGUGCGGUCGUUCUAUCUUCCUGACGCCUUGUAAGGGUGGUGCUGCUUUUUUGUGUCGGACAUGGCUGCAUUUGCCAUCUGGUUCAAGUAACUACAGGAGGCGCGGCUCAUGGAAGAAUGAAGGUAUGGAUUCUGCGGAAAUGGUUUGUGGCACGAGUUGUAAGGUCCAACGGCAGUGGCGCGAGUUCCUGGCUUCUCCAUCCUUGACGUCCAUGAUCUUGGAUAUUUGUGAAGAGUAUAUGCAGCAGUGGUAGUUGUGGGAGGCUAAACAAGAAAGAAGCAGAAGAAUGCAGGAUUCCUCAACCAUUAGAGCUCCAUGUCAAGCUCCCUUUGCUGUGAUAUGGCCACUGCAGCUUGUUUAUCGAAAUGUCUAUAAGAGAGGAGCUCAGGUAGAAGCGUGUGAUGGCUAGCUAAUAACUUAAUGUAUUUCCCUCGUGUGUGAAGAUUCAGAUCGUGUAAACUUCGA